AUGCAAGUAGAUUGAACUUACAUGAAAUUUAUCCUCUUUAUUUCAUUCAAUACAUGAUUGUAUGCCCAAUUAUCUUUCAUAUUUCAGGGCAUAUACACAUUAUCAGCAUUAAAGGCAUUUAAAAUUAUACCCUAUUAAUUUUUUUUUCCAGCUAUGAUUUAAUGUGUUGUUGUUGGCAAAGUGAUCCGAUUGAAAGACCCUCAUUUCAAACAAUACAUAGAUUUUUAAACAUGACUUACAAGAAAUUUCAGAACGAAGAGUCGGCAAGCAGUGAACAAACUGAAGAAGACAAAUCCUCCCCAAGAUAUUGUUCAAAGGUCUUCAAUGAGGAGGAAAGCUCCCCACUAAUGUUAAUAGACGAAAUUUGUAGAGGAGGGAUGUGACAUCAACAUUCCUCUUGUUCAAAAAAGUUUGAAUCUUAAAACGACUGCAUAUAAUUACAAUUUACCUUUUAUUUUGAAAAGCAAAUUUGAUUAUAACAGUCCUUUAAAAGCUCAAUGUGUUCUUCAAAUGCUUUACAAUUUUUUUUAUCGUAUUUGUUGUUAUUGUUGUUGUUAAAAUAAAUGAUUUAUUCUUGUUA